AGUUCGACCGGGUCGCAAGCGCGCGUCACCACGAGGUAGUCGCGCAGUGCGAGGCUGUGCCGGUUUUC
rfam:Mycobacterium sp. VKM Ac-1817D, complete genome.